UCUCCACGUUGUUGUAUCUUCCAACCCACGAACGCGGCCGUGUCUCUAGGUGUGUGCUGACGUCUUUCAGCAGCAUUGCUGAGUUUUCAGCAUGUCAUCCCCAGCUGCGCCCCGUUCAGCUGCUCUGGUGCAUCUCUCGCCCUCCAUCUGGUCGGCUGUUUUGUUAUGAAAACGCAGUUCCGCGUAGAGUGCACGGCCUGAGCGCUCCUGGGGGACCUCGCCUUCCUUGUUUUUCUUCUAGCAUCACUGAGCCCACAGAUGACCCGGCCGGUGGCUGGGAGCGGAGGCGAGGCCCGAGGGGGUCCCCAAGGCCGGCACAGGAAGAGGAGCUUGAGGUGAUGGAAUCCUGGGCCCAAGAGACGGAGCAGCAGGUGUUCCGAGGCCAACGGCGCAUGGCCCCAAGAAGGAAGAGUGGCAUCUUUGGAUGCAGCCUCCUGCCUGUCAGCUGCCACGGAGAACAGGUGGCUUGUGGGGACCCUCUGCCGAGGACACGCCCGCGCUCACAGGGACCCUCCGCCGAGGACAUGCCUGUUCGCGGGGACCCUCCGCCGAGGACACCCCUGCGCUCGCGGGGACCCUCUGCUGAGGAAAUGCAUUGUGUUCCAGGUGGGCACUCUGGUGGGCGUGAACCCAGGUCUCUCUUCAGUGUCACAGAGAGGAGAUGAGGGCAGAAGAACAUGGUGGGAGGUAGAGAAUCUGCUGAGGUCUAACACCAGUCCAUCAGCAUCCACGACAGCAGUGACCCAGAGCCCUAUGCCUGACCCACGGAAACGCAUGCAGCCUUGCAAAGGAAUCGGAGUUCAGCACGUGCCCCGAAAGGGACAGACCCAGGGUCAUGGUGCUCAGGGAGGGAGGCUGGACGGAGGCCGCACAUUGUAGGAUGCCAGUUGCAUGGAACGUCCGAGUCGGGAAUCCAGAGAUGAAGCUCCCAGUGGCUGGUGGAGGCCCGGCGGCGGGUGUGAGGGUCUCCUUUGCCGGGUGUGGGGGGGGUAUGGGAAGUUCUGGAACCAGGCGGAGGCGGCGGUUGCAUCACGCUGUGAACGUGCUGGAGGCCCCCGAGUUCACUUCAAAAGCAUGAACUUACUUUGCGUUAUCUGUGUUGUUUCAUCACAACCGAAACACAGCUAAGGGCCGGUGAGCCCAGCUCUGGGACAGAGCCUCAGGACAGCCGGCCUGUGUGUGCGGGGCUGGCAGGGCCUCCGGGCCUCUGUCUUGAGCGGGCGUGGGGUGCAGCCACCACAGGGCAAGGAGCCCUUUGGGCAGGGCGGGGUGGGGUGGGGCCGGACAGCCCGCUGUGGGCAGGCGCCUCAGAGGUUCCAGACCUGAGCUCACCCCCUGCCCCUCCCGCCCUGGCAGUCCGGGGCUGCGUCUCCCUGUCACCAGUGCCCUAGUGGAGGCUGAUGGCUCC
rnacentral:lncRNA from 1 species